ACUCCUACGGGAGGCAGCAGUGGGGAAUAUUGCACAAUGGGCGCAAGCCUGAUGCAGCCAUGCCGCGUGUGUGAAGAAGGCCUUCGGGUUGUAAAGCACUUUCAGUAAGGAGGAAAGGUUAGUCAUUAAUAUUGGCUAGCUGUGACGUUACUUACAGAAGAAGCACCGGCUAACUCCGUGCCAGCAGCCGCGGUAAUACGGAGGGUGCGAGCGUUAAUCGGAAUUACUGGGCGUAAAGCGCAUGCAGGCGGCCUGUUAAGUCAGAUGUGAAAGCCCGGGGCUUAACCUCGGAAUUGCAUUUGAAACUGGCAGGCUAGAGUCUUGUAGAGGGGGGUAGAAUUUCAGGUGUAGCGGUGAAAUGCGUAGAGAUCUGAAGGAAUACCAGUGGCGAAGGCGGCCCCCUGGACAAAGACUGACGCUCAGAUGCGAAAGCGUGGGGAGCAAACAGGAUUAGAU
rnacentral:rRNA from 1 species